AUACGUAGGUCCCGAACGUUGCGCGAAAUUACUGGGCGUAAAGGGUCCGUAGGCGGUCUGGUAAGUGGAAGGUGAAAGCCUGUGGCUCAACUCCAGAAUUGCCUUCCAAACUGCCGGACUUGAGGCAGGGAGAGGUCGGCGGAAUUCCCGGUGUAGUGGUGAAAUGCGUAGAUAUCGGGAGGAACACCAGUGGCGAAGGCGGCCGACUGGAACUGUCCUGACGCUGAGGGACGAAAGCCAGGGGAGCGAACCGGAUUAGAAACCCUAGUAGUCC
rnacentral:rRNA from 1 species